AUUUUGACGAGUUCCAAAUAGGACGAAACAGCUGUCAAU
rnacentral:hammerhead_ribozyme from 1 species